CACGUAGGGGGCAAGCGUUGUCCGGAAUCAUUGGGCGUAAAGAGCUCGUAGGCGGCUCAGUAAGUCGGGUGUGAAACCUCCAGGCUCAACCUGGAGACGCCACCCGAUACUGCUGUGGCUAGAGUCCAGUAGGGGAGUGUGGAAUUCCCGGUGUAGCGGUGAAAUGCGCAGAUAUCGGGAGGAACACCAGCGGCGAAGGCGGCACUCUGGGCUGGUACUGACGCUGAGGAGCGAAAGCGUGGGUAGCAAACAGG
rnacentral:rRNA from 1 species